rnacentral:tRNA from 1 species
AGGGAGUUAGUCCAAAACAAGACCUCUGAUUUCGGCUCAGAAAAUUAUGGUUCAAACCCAUGGCCCCCUU